GAUGAAGAACGUAGCGAAAUGCGAUACUUGGUGUGAAUUGCAGAAUCCCGUGAACCAUCGAGUCUUUGAACGCAAGUUGCGCCCGAAGCCAUUGGGCCGAGGGCACGCCUGCCUGGGCGUCACACGUCGUUGCCCCCCCAUCUACUCCUUCGGGAUUGCGGGGGGCGGAUGAUGGCCUCCCGUGCGCCUCGUCGCGCGGUUGGCAUAAAUGCCAAGUCCUCGGCGACGCACGCCACGACAAUCGGUGGUUGCGAAACCUCGGUUGCCCGUCGUGUGCGGUCGUCGCGCAUCGAGGGCUCGAAAAAAUUGCCGGGCUCCGGCUCGACUUUCAACGCGACCCCAGGUCAGGCGGGGUUACCCGCUGAAUUUAAGCAUAUCAAUAAGCGGAGGA
rnacentral:misc_RNA from 1 species